UAUCCACACUUGGUUCAGAACUAACAUCACACCACCAAACACUUCUGACAUUAUCUUUACAGGGAAGAUUUUCUAAUGGCUGGUGUUGAGGCCUUAGCUGAUGACCUAGAUUUGGAUCCUUUUGAAGAAAGUUUCAAAUCCAUGGAUCUAGCUACGGAUGCAGUCCAAAUUGAUGUGGACCAAGCAAACAACUUACUCAACAGUGUGUGAGUUGCAAUGUCUUCUUAUCUAGGGGUGGGCAAUAUAAACGAUAUAAGGUAGAAAUGAUAUAAAAUUGGGUAAUGAUAGUUUUUGGCUAUAUCGCAAUACGGCGAUAUUGUGAUAACACAUGACGUCACUAAGAUGUGCACCCUGCUGACAAUGGGACAACAGAAUGGCGGUGACUGCAAGCAUGGAGUGGGCGGAGGAGGAGGCCUAUAUGCCUCAAGUGGCAUAUAUUUGCCACAUGAGGAUAUCUAAAAGCAUGUCAAUUUGACAUCUAUAAACAGAUGAAAAAAUAUAUCGCAAUAUAUAUCGUUACUGCACAUGCUUCAGAUUAUAUCGCAAUAUAGAUUUGAGGCCAUAUUACCCAGCCCUAUUCUUAUCUACACUCUUUUUUUAAACUCCAAAGUCUUAAAACAAUAUAUUAAUUCUACUUUUAUUUAUUGUUUUCAUAACAGAAUAGAACUGUUAUGAAAACUUUGUCAGGCUGACGAAGUUUGCAGCCGCAAACAAAACGUUGCAGGUAAAUAAAACCCUUCUAUGUUUUAAAAAGAACUAAAAGAUGGAAUUGUUGUUUUAUCCUUGUUCACAGGCUGGGAUCCUAAAGGCAAUUUCCAUCCUACUUGUGUGGCUGAAGGACAUCUUCAACCAAUUUUGGUACAUUUGUCAGAAAGCACAACAUUGUGAUAUGUUUAAUGACAUGUGGGUGGGUGUGCUUCACCAUGUCACAGGGAAGCAUGAAUGGACCCGUGGCAAAUGUGACCAUGGACCACUUGAUGCAACAGCCAGUGAUUAAAGAGCUCAUGGUACCAUGAUCUCCACCACACGAGGCUCUUCAACGAAUCAUGUUCAACAGACGCUGGUUGAAGGAUGCCACCAAUUUGACCUUUAGGUAUAUUAAUAACAUUUUCAUAAGCAAAAAAGCUAAAGUGUCAAUAUCAAAGCUGAAAAUUUACAUAUAGAAAUGACAAUUGUGGGUGAAAAGGCAAUCAAAAGUGUGAUUCCUAAUAAUCUAUAAAGUUGUAGCUUUUGUUUUUUUACAGGUCAACUUCAGAACUGGAGAGUUUCCAGAACUGCAUU